UAGCAUGUUCAGGGUGAUGCAAAAAUCCUUUCGGAUAAGGCCCGACCCCAAUCCAAUUAAUCCUAGAACUAAAAAAAAGAAAAGAAAUGUGAGGAUAGUAGCAGACCCCCCUCGUGGCGGCUUCCUACUGUUUUCCAAAAUGUUCUGGCUAGUCAUAACAAUAAGUGCUACCUACAGUCUUUUAAGAUGGCUAGCGAAUCGAUGAAAAUAAAAGCUCUUAAAAAAUGGAUACAUGUUAAACUAGUACAGUGAGUUAUUACCCAAUGGAAUUUUGACCAAACCAUUAUCCCUACGAUGAAUGCAAUACCAUUAAAUAUGCAUAAAACCCAUAAACCAAAAUAAAUUCAAAUGAUUAUUCGUGAAUGCUCAUAUAUCCCUUAUUCUGCCGAACUCUCCUUCCGAAAACAAAAUUAAAACACCAUAAAAGCCUGCAUAAUACCCUAAUCACUUCUCAAGAACACUUGAAAGUUCUUGAGCGAUUUUCCAGAAAUUUAACAAACCAACAUGACUUCUAAGAUCUCAAACAUCAAUCCUACCCCAAAUCGAAUUCCAGACGUGAUGCUAACUUUAAAUGAACAACAAUUAGAAGGAUCGGAGUCCUUAGAGGCGAAACAAAUUCCGCCUUUUAAAACCGAACUCCAGAUUUUCGUUCUCAGCACCUUCAAAGUCGGAAUCAAACCUCACAUGGUUUGCAACAAACACAAUUCAUCCAACAAAUGAAAAAAAUAAAUCAACAGUUAUCGCCAUACAUCAAAACAGAAUCAAAAUGCCCUAAGAGUCAUGGAUCUAUACAAAGGCAAAGCGCAUAAACCAAUCGGAUCUGCAGUGUAUAAGGUAUGCCUUAUCAUUUUCCCUUGCUCUGCUUUCUUCUUGUCCUAAUCUCUGCUUCUUCUUCUUGUGCGAUUUUCUUUCGUUUUGUCGGGGUUGCUAUCCAGGUAGUGGUUUUUAGCUCAAACUUGUUGAGAUUCAGUGUGAAAUCUCAACAGGCUUAGAAAUUUUAGAGCUCUAAUAAGUGUUUUGGAUUUGUUUUCCGCAGAGUAACGACGCUCUAGGAAGGAGUCCCUGCUUCAGUCAUCAAAUGGUUCUUAUAUAGAGUUCUUGUACGAGGUUCAUCUGUCCUUAUCCUUCAUGAGCUGGCAAAUCUUGGAUAGGAUCAAUCCGUUAGAAUAAAAUCUCCUUUAGAUUUUUGGUGUGGUCCCGUACAGAUCUGCUUGUAGUGAAAUAUGCCACUAUUUCGUAUAGAAUUUUACUGUUGUGGAACACCUAUGUAUUGUGUUUGGUUGCAGUGGGUUCUGGCUGCUGCGAAUUGAUGACGUAUUGCAACAUGAUGCGCCCUGGUGUACACUUCUGAUAUCGCGACUUGUUUUGGAUCUUGUUUUGGAUCGUUACGGUUCAAUCAUCACCUGACAGGCUUAGCCAAUGCUUGGAACGACAACAUGAAAACAAAUGAUCUAGGACUUUGGUCCUUAUGCAAUGCCUUGAUUGGAGCAGCUUGUGCUACUCGCAUUUAUUCAGAUUAACACGAUCAUCCGCAUGAUGCAAUCCUUCUUACGGCUUAUCAGAAAUCAGUGAAGCUGACUUUGAGAGAUGAACUGCGUACCGUGUACUUGGGAGUAUUGCCGACCACAAUGCGGUUCAUUAUCCGGGAAGCGCGAAAUUCUCCAGCAAUCAACAUCCACAAGUGUUUCACCAGACCACCAUUGAGAGCUAGCCCUGGCAUAGUAGCGAUCCAUCAGUAAUCGGGUUUACCAAGGGUAUCACUCUUUGUUCGUAUGUUCUACAUUGCUCGACAACGAACCCAUGUCUAAGCCCUUCUUUUUAAGCACAUCUGUGAGAUCAUACAUAAGGCUAUGUGCAUCCCUUAUCUCUGUCAAACUUAGUGUACGUAUGCUUGGAAGUACGUAGCCAACGGUUGUGUAUGCGAAGGAUCAAAUACAGCGGUCAACUAUUUGGAUCUUCCUUUUUCUGAGAAAACAUCGCCUUGGAACGCACCAGUUCCUGGUUUCACUUGUAAUACCAAACUUAUCGCCUCUUUGAAGUGUGUUGAAACGAAAGGUGUGCGGAGUUACCAUGGUUAAUGGGCAUGAUGCCUCAAACUCAUAUACCUUUCUUUUGUAACCCAAUCUGCACCUUGGUGUAAAUCGUGAGGUUACCGCUAUAAUCGUAGAUUAUGCCUUUAAUAAUGAAUUCCUUGGUUCAUUGGUAUCGGUUUGAUUAAUUGCAGAUUGAACUCGGAUGCAUCUUUCCGUCGUUGCGACAUCGUUACUUGUUGUUGGAAGCGUCGAGAAUGUUGCAGGUAGCGGCUUUGGUUUAUCUUAUUGGUAUGCCGCAGCUUGAAAUUUGGAUUUGAAUGGCAUGGACUCCCUGUUGGUUUACCUGGUUUACCGUGUUGCAAAUAAAACCUGGUUGUAAUUCCCCUUUGUCUUACUUGAAACAAACCUUUGGUCUUGGGUUAUGUAAAAUAAUUGUCUCUGUUAUGUAAACUGAACUGCCGUUUGGAUUGUAAUAUCUUUUAAUCAUUUUGAUCAAAGUGGACUGUGAUUCACGGUUUUUCUAGGCAUAA